CUCGUUUUCAAGUAUAUCCUGGGUCCACAAAACAUUGCUUUGAUAUGGGUACAUUAAAAUACAAAAAUCAAUAUUAAUACACAAUACAUACAAAAUUGAACAUAGUACAGGCAAUAGAUAUAUAAUCAACCAUGACAGGUGCAUUCUGUUUUGAUAUAUGUAGAGAGGGAUCUCUUAAAGUAUUUUAGGCCUGGGGAAGAUAGUGGGGAAAGUAAUGGAAAC